UCGAUUUAUAAGUCAAACGGUUCAGUGCUCGAAGCGUGCGCGCUUAGGUCUCACUCUCUCCGUCAUAUAAUAGUAUUAACAAUAAUAAACUUUAUUGAAAUUAAUGAAGGUAUUACAAAACCAGUUUGGCACAUCUAAUCUUUAAUAUAAUGGGCUUCAACACUGGGCCGUCUGUAAUUUCACAGGACACUAGUUUGAGCAAAUGUUCAUUCAUAUA